rnacentral:tRNA from 2 species
CGAGGUGUGGCUCAGCUUGGUAGAGCGCUUGCUUCGGGAGCAAGAGGCCGCGCGUUCGAAUCGCGUCACCUCGA